rnacentral:rRNA from 1 species
GGGGAAGCUUUGUAUUGAAGCCCGAGUAAACGGCGGCCGUAACUAUAACGGUCCUAAGGUAGCGAAAUUCCUUGUCGGUUAAAUACCGACCUGCAUGAAUGGCGUAACGAGAUGGGAGCUGUCUCAACCAGAGAUUCAGUGAAAUUGUAGUGGAGGUGAAAAUUCCUCCUACCCGCGGCAAGACGGGAAGACCCCGUGGACCUUUACUACAACUUAGCACUGCUAAUGGGAAUAUCAUGCGCAGGAUAGGUGGGAGGCUUUGAAGUAAGGGCUUUGGCUCUUAUGGAGA